GCGGCCGAGUGCGGGACUGGGGCUCCCGGCUGUGGGUGUGGUACUGAGGCUCCAGUGGGAGCCGCCCGCCUAGAGGGAGUGGAGGGGGAGACAGGAGACAUCAAAAUAUGUAAGAUGAACGUUGGUUCCGUCGGGAAAGGCCGGACAACUCGAGGCAGGGAGGGGCUUCCAGGUCACAGUACCUGCUGCAAGAAGGGACAGACACUGCUGCAGAGAACUUGCCAUGGUGUUUCAUGCUGCGGCUGGUGGUUCCAGGCUGCAAGCUCCAUUCUAGAAAGGGCUGGCCCUGCUUCCUGCCUACGGGCUGUGGGUGUAUCAUCUGGAGCUGCAAAUGGGGUGAUGGGGCAUCAGUAGCCUUCUCACACCCAAGAACUUCCUGACACCCAGUGCCUCAUCUCCAGCCAACCUCUGGCGCCCCCAGAGAUCCU